AGCCGAUGAUGAUUAUAUGGUGAUCGUGUAAUUGAUGACUAAAUGUGAUUACAUACAUACCUAUACUGCCUUCCUUAUGAGGCU